rnacentral:rRNA from 1 species
GCUCAGUCUCUGGAUAUAGACCCGAAACCGGGUGAUCUAGCCAUGGGCAGGUUGAAGGUUGAGUAACAUCAACUGGAGGACCGAACCGACUAAUGUUGAAAAAUUAGCGGAUGACUUGUGGCUAGGGGUGAAAGGCCAAUCAAACUCGGAGAUAGCUGGUUCUCCCCGAAAGCUAUUUAGGUAGCGCCUCGGACGAAUACUACUGGGGGUAGAGCACUGUUAAGGCUAGGGGGUCAUCCCGACUUACCAACCCUUUGCAAACUCCGAAUACCAGUAAGUACUAUCCGGGAGACACACGGCGGGUGCUAACGUCCGUCGUGGAGAGGGAAACAACCCAGACCGCCAGCUAAGGUCCCAAAGUAUUGCUAAGUGGGAAACGAUGUGGGAAGGCUCAGACAGCUAGGAUGUUGGCUUAGAAGCAGCCAUCAUUUAAAGAAAGCGUAAUAGCUCACUAGUCGAGUCGGCCUGCGCGGAAGAUGUAACGGGGCUAAGCAAUACACCGAAGCUGCGGCAAUGUCUUUUAGACAUUGGGUAGGGGAGCGUUCUGUAAGCCGUUGAAGGUGAAUCGUAAGGU